rnacentral:tRNA from 1 species
CCCUUGGUAGUCUAGUUGGUUAUGGCGUUCGGCUGUAAGAGUUCACAAUGUCUUCUGAGAUGAAUUUCAGAUGACGGGCUUGAUUAUAGUCACCGAAAAGUCACCGGUUCGAUUCCGGUCCGAGGGA